rnacentral:rRNA from 1 species
CCUUGUACACACCGCCCGUCACGCCAUGGAAGCUGGGGGGACCUGAAGCCGGUGGGCCAACCGCAAGGGGGCAGCCGUCAAAGGUCAAUUCAGUGACUGGGGCG